GAGGGUUGAAUGCUAUAGUAUCCCCUUGUUCGUUCAAGUUUUGGGGUGAUUUAACACUGGUGAAGAGCUGAGUUGUCAGGAGCCUUGAGUGAACUCAGAAGAGGCUUUGUUUUGCUAAACUUAACGAUGGAAAGCCCAGGGAGAGCCACCGCUCUUGAGAAGCAGAUGUGGUUUUCAUCAUUCAUGAACAGUCAUUUUGGCUGGUGCUUGGAGGAACUUCUGUGGACCCCAGAGGGAGUAUGUCCAUCACUACUGAGCAGAAGAGAGGGCUAUUGCAACACAGGGACCUUCACAGCAGUGAGAACAACCUGGAAGAUUUUUUGCAGUCUAUGCAGUGUCUCCCCAGGCCAGAAUAAAAUUUGGAAUAAUCUAUGUAAUGUUCCACGUCUCACAGUAAUGGAAAUAGUUUGUAUUAUUAGAAAUUACUUUUCCAAAAUCAUAAGGCUAUUUUAAGACCUAGGUAAGGCUGCAAAUUCGUCAUGAUUACUGUUGGUGUCAGAGAGUUUGGGAAUUGCUUUUCUUGCCUUCUUCCCUGUGCUGGCACAUAUGCACAUGCCCAGUUGUGUGGCUGGCUCCCUAAACGCAUGGGCCGAUGAGCAGCUGUAUAACCUUCACUGACAGUCUCACCAAAGCAGCCUCUUGGGGUUCUGCCUGUACAGGAAAGGCCAUUAGCCCAGGCAGAAGGCAGGAGGGCAGCAGGUCCAUCCUCAUCCCACCCAGGUGGGUAAAGCAUUUACUCUGCACAGAGCAGGCCAUCAGCUGGAGGAUGGGAGUGUAGACCUUGUUCUGGAAAGGCAAGGAACCAUUCCAUUAAUCAACUCCAGGGCAAGAAGCUUGAAUUCUGCCUGGAUGACAUGCGAAAUCCAGUGGGAAAUAUGAUUUGUCACCCACGCAUAAAAAGAUUUUCCAUGCUGGCUUCUACAAAGAUUUUGUUUCCAUGGAUUUCAUACCAUUUCUUUUGUUCUCUGGUCAAAAAUUCAAUUUCCUUUAAAAUAAAUAUUAACAAGUUAAUUUUAAUUGCUUUUUGUUUAUUUUACAACUCCAUUAUUUUCUGUCAAGUUUCACAUGUUUGAAAACAAAAAUGUUACUAGCUUUCCGUUUCAGCAGAUGUAUGGGAGCAGACAACAGACCUCAAUCAAUGUGAUAUUUUUUUAAAGAAUGUAAAUUAAUUCGAAGGAGGUGGGAGAGGGCACAUGUAUUUGUAACAUGCAUUUUAAGAGAUUUUUGCAUUUACAUUUAUUUUUAAUGGCGUUUAUGCCCUCUAAUGUCAGAAAACGUUAUUGCAAGGUAGUUUUGGGUUUAAUAUUUUUUCCUUAACUGCGUCUGUCAGUAUCAGACUAAACUAUGUGAUCUUUAUAAAAAUAUACAUCCUGGAUUUAU